rnacentral:lncRNA from 1 species
CCUGACAGUGAACGGUUGAUACCGUCAUUAUUAAGGUGAUAUAUGUUGAUUGCAGAAGAGCAAACCGGUGGGUCGCAGCUCGCUGCGGGCCGUACGCGUGAAGCCAGCGCGGCCCAACCACGCGCCCGCAAACACACCGCCCAUUCCCCCCCUCCGGCCGGAGUCGGCGUCGUCAUCGCCUCAGCCGGUGGUAACCACCUCCACAGUCGGGCCGCCCAUCACCAACUUCGGGAUCCAUCAUCCGCCAGCGCCUAUUAGCGAUGAUGAAAUUGUGGAGGUCCCAUACAAGCC